rnacentral:rRNA from 1 species
GAUGAACGCUGGCGGCGUGCCUAAUACAUGCAAGUCGAGCGAACAGACGAGGAGCUUGCUCCUCUGACGUUAGCGGCGGACGGGUGGGUAACACGUGGAUAACCUACCUAUAAGACUGGGAUAACUUCGGGAAACCGGAGCUAAUACCGGAUAAUAUAUUGAACCGCAUGGUUCAAUAGUGAAAGACGGUUUUGCUGUCACUUAUAGAUGGAUCCGCGCCGCAUUAGCUAGUUGGUAAGGUAACGGCUUACCAAGGCAACGAUGCGUAGCCGACCUGAGAGGGUGACCGGCAACACUGGAACUGAGACACGGCCCAGACUCCUACGGGAGGCGGCAUUUGGGAAUCUUCGGCAAUGGGCGAAAUCCUGACGGAGAAACGCGGCGUGAGUGAUGAAGGUCUUCGGAUCGUAAAACUCUGUUAUUAGGAAAGAACAAAUGUGUAAGUAACUAUGCACGUCUUGACGGUACCUAAUCAGAAAGCCACGGCUAACUACGUG